rnacentral:snRNA from 1 species
CUCCUUUUUCGCUCGCGUUUAAGUUGAUGCCAUUAAAAAUCAGUUGAAUCACCUGGGACGGAAACGAUUCGUUUCCUCUAUGUAUUAAUCGGAUUUUUGAACUUGGAGUAUGGUGCUGGAGCUUGCUCCACCCUGCUCACGGGUUGUCCUGGUAUUGCAGUACCUCCAGGUUCGGCUCACGUUUC